rnacentral:rRNA from 1 species
GACGAACGCUGGCGGCGUGCCUAAUACAUGCAAGUAGAACGCUGAAGAGAGGAGCUUGCUCUUCUUGGAUGAGUUGCGAACGGGUGAGUAACGCGUAGGUAACCUGCCUUGUAGCGGGGGAUAACUAUUGGAAACGAUAGCUAAUACCGCAUAACAAUGGAUGACACAUGUCAUUUAUUUGAAAGGGGCAAUUGUUCCACUACAAGAUGGACCUGCGUUGUAUUAGCUAGUAGGUGAGGUAAUGGCUCACCUAGGCGACGAUACAUAGCCGACCUGAGAGGGUGAUCGGCCACACUGGGACUGAGACACGGCCCAGACUCCUACGGGAGGCAGCAGUAGGGAAUCUUCGGCAAUGGGGGCAACCCUGACCGAGCAACGCCGCGUGAGUGAAGAGGGUUUUCGGAUCGUAAAGCUCUGUUGUAAGUCAAGAACGGGUGUGAGAGUGGAAAGUUCACACUGUGACGGUAGCUUACCAGAAAGGGACGGCUAACUACGUG